CAGAGGGUGCAAACGUUGUUCGGAAUUACUGGGCGUAAAGCGCGUGUAGGCGGCCAUGCAAGUCGGAUGUGAAAGCCCUCGGCUCAACCGGGGAAGUGCACUCGAAACUGCAAGGCUAGAGUCUCGGAGAGGAUCGUGGAAUUCUCGGUGUAGAGGUGAAAUUCGUAGAUAUCGAGAGGAACACCGGUGGCGAAGGCGGCGAUCUGGACGAUGACUGACGCUGAGACGCGAAAGCGUGGGGAGCAAACAGGAUUAGAUACCCUGGUAGUCCACGCCGUAAACGAUGGGUGCUAGGUGUCGCGGGCUUUGACCCCUGCGGUGCCGCAGCUAACGCAUUAAGCACCCGCCUGGGAAGUACGGCCGCAAGGCUA
rnacentral:rRNA from 1 species